UUUUUUUUAAUACAAAUAGCGGAGGAAAAGAAACUCACAAGGAUUCCCCUAGUAACGGCGAGUGAAGCGGGAAGAGCUCAAAUGUGAAAUCUUAAAGGGUUUCCCUUUACGAAUUGUAGUUUAAAGAAGUGUUUUCUGUUGGAGUUUCGGUAAAAGUUCUUUGGAAUAGGACAUCAUAGAGGGUGAGAAUCCCGUAUUUGACCGUUACUUUCCAGCUGUGUGAUACACUUUCAAAGAGUCGGAUUGUUUGGGAACGCAGUCCAAAAUGGGUGGUAAAUUUCAUCUAAAGCUAAAUAUUGGCGAGAGACCGAUAGCGAACAAGUACCGUGAGGGAAAGAUGAAAAGAACUUUGAAAAGAGAGUUAAACAGUACGUGAAAUUGUCAAAAGGGAAGCGUUUGACACCAGUGUUGUUUAGUUGAAAAUCAAUUCAAUAAUUUUUGAUUUUGAGUAGUAUUGACUUCAUCAGCUUGCUGCUUUCUUUUCAGAAAUUAUAGAAUGCACUUCUCAGUUAACAAGUCAACAUCAAUUUCUUUUGUUGUAAAAGGGUAAGAGGAAGGUGGCUUACGCUUCGGCGUAAGUGUUUAUAGCCUUUUACCUCCGCAAUCGGAGAGAUUGAGGACAGCAGCGUAGACUCUUCGGGGUUAGAUACACUUGUGCUAAGCUAUAGCCUUGUAUAGACAACUUGUUGACUAUGCUCAGUCAUGUAGCUUACUCGCUUGUGCUAUUUUACCUACACUUAGGAUGUUGACAAAAUGGGUUUAAACGACCCGUCU
rnacentral:rRNA from 1 species